ACGCUUCCUGGAAGAGAUGCAUUGCGGAGCUCGCUAGUGGGGUGUUGGCUUUCCUUAGGAGUGUGAGUCUAGCGUUAGCUGUUUUUUCCCGGCUGGGUCCCGGGUUACCCCACCAGCCCGACCUCAACCCACUCGCGUCCACAGCACGAGCCCCAGCAGCCUUGCGCGGUGCUUGCUCUCUAGUAGCGGCUGACUAGGUCAGUCAGGAUCUUUGAUUUUGGAGCACAAGCCUUCUGCGUGCUACUGACUGGGUCCUGGCCUCCCUCCUUCCAUGGCACCGUCGUGAAUGGGAAUUUCCACCACUGCCUCCAUUAGGUGCAAACUCACUUUUAGAAAAACAGUGAACCAUGGGACUGUACUAACAGAAGAACAACAAAUGCCCACCACAAG
rnacentral:lncRNA from 1 species